rfam:Lachnospiraceae bacterium M18-1 genomic scaffold acPFy-supercont1.4, whole genome shotgun sequence.
GAGAUAUCCCAUGAAGAUAAUUCAGUAAGACCCCUUGAAGACGACGAGGUAGAUAGGGCGGAGGUGGAAGUGCAGUAAUGUAUGGAGCUGACCGUCACUAAUAGGUCGAGGGCAUAACCAA